AUGAGAGACACGGAGAGCGAGGCAGAGACACAGGCAGAGGGAGAAGCAGGCUCCACGCAGGGAGCCCGACGCGGGACUCGAUCCCGGGUCUCCAGGAUCAGGCCGUGGGCCGAAGGCGGCGCUAAACCGCUGCGCCCCGGGCCCCCCGACCAUCUUCUAGCUGAGGCCCCUGUAGUGCGAGGAAAGACUCGCGCCCCAGGUAGCCUCUGCCAGAGACGCUUCCCCGCGUGGACAGGUGCCUCGGAGCGCCUCGCCCGUCUGCGCCUGCGCUGCUCUGCCCGGCACCGGCACCGGCACCGGCACCGGCACCGGCACCGCGCGGAGGAGGACCCCUCCCGGCAGAGGCUCCGCGCCCCCGGGACGCCGCUUUCAGGCCUUCUGUGGGAUCGCCCUCUGCCGGCGGCACACGCUGCUCUGUGUGCACCGCAAGUGGCUCCCGCCAAUGCGGACGUGAGGCCCCGUGGCCUGACCUCCACGCCGCCAGCGAAUCUUACUGGAAGUGGGAAGCUCGGAGGGCGGAAGGCCCGUGUCCGGACGCGGGCGCCGCGGGGGGCCCUUCUGCGGCCGAGGCGCCUCCCUGCGCGAGUUGGCACCUGCGCGGGCUGCGGUCGCCCCAGCGGUGCGGUGGCCGCUCGGGGCCGGGCGGGGGCGCUGCGAGCAGCGAGCAGCAGGCAGCGCGGGUGCUGCCCAGCGCCUCGGGGCCCGGCCGGCCCGGCGCCGUCUCCGCUCCCCGCCCGCACUGCCAGCGCGGCUCGGCCUCUCCCAGGGCCUCGUCCCCGGCGGGAGGAGCCGCCGCUUCCUUCCGAACCCAGGCCCAGGCCGGGACCCGGCGCUCGGGAGCUGGGGUGCCUUCCGGUCUCCGGAGUCUCGGGGCCCUCACGGCAGGACUUACCGUCGAGUUUGAUGGUUUGGAGGGUUCCCCCAAACGGGGCCUGUUCCUGGUUUGUCUUUGUAACUGCGGGCUGCGCACCGCGUGCCCGGUUGUCCGGAGGCGCUCAGCGAAGGCUUGAGGCCGUGGAGCUGACCCUGUGUCUCUGUCGUAGCCACGCGCGUGCAGACGUGUCUGGGGCCCGCGUGCACAGGUUCGUUUCUGGCACGUUUCCUUCCAUCGGGCUACUGCGCUGUCUCAGGCUUGCACGGCACGCCGCGGGCCCUCAGUUCUCCACCAACAGCAAUAGCCCUGGCCACGGUAUCCUAAUACUGGGCGACAGUUGA
rnacentral:lncRNA from 12 species